AUUGAACGCUGGCGGCAUGCCUUACACAUGCAAGUCGAACGGUAACAGGUCUUCGGCUGCUGCCGAGUGGCGCACGGGUGAGUAAUACAUCGGAACGUGCCCGAUCGUGGGGGAUAACGAAGCGAAAGCUUUGCUAAUACCGCAUACGAUCUACGGAUGAAAGCAGGGGACCGCAAGGCCUUGCGCGACCGGAGCGGCCGAUGGCAGAUUAGGUAGUUGGUGGGAUAAAAGCUUACCAAGCCGACGAUCUGUAGCUGGUCUGAGAGGACGACCAGCCACACUGGGACUGAGACACGGCCCAGACUCCUACGGGAGGCAGCAGUGGGGAAUUUUGGACAAUGGGCGAAAGCCUGAUCCAGCCAUGCCGCGUGCAGGAUGAAGGCCUUCGGGUUGUAAACUGCUUUUGUACGGAACGAAAAGACUCUGGUUAAUACCUGGGGUCCAUGACGGUACCGUAAGAAUAAGCACCGGCUAACUACGUG
rnacentral:rRNA from 1 species